GGCGUUGCCCAGUGAUAGAGCAUCUGCUUUUCAUGGAGAAUGUCUCAGGUUUGAUUCCUGGUAUCAUCA